ensembl:lncRNA
GGAUGUUUUGCCUGUCUGUUUAUUGGUUCCCUCAUGGGUUUACACUCUUAACACUCUACCAGAUCAUCUUGUUCCUCUGCUUGGUCCAAGUUAGUACUUGCCCUGUCAUUCACCAGUCUCUGUACUACACCGUAAUUCUGCUGUUGUGCAAAUCAGACUCUCUGAAUUCCAGUGAUUUCUGUCUGAUUUUCAGAGACCUGGCUGUGUCCCUCUUCGGAUCCGGUGGUUAGCAGUAUGACUCCAGAAACACAAGGCAUAACAGAAACGCCGAAAACAGUCAUGUGCACUAUACAGGUUACAGCUGCCAGUGGUGCCAUGUGCUUCAUCAAUCCCUUGUACCUUCAAGAGCAUGGCGAUGAUUGGCUUUCUCAUUCUUCAACCAGCCAAAUAAAUCUUCCAAUCAGGUUGAGGCGAGAAAGUCCCACGAGAGCAUGGGUAGGGAGAGAACUGAAAAAGAGGUCCUCUACACUAGCCGACAACAACUCUAGCGGUUUUGACCAUGACAGAGGAUCGUUUGAGAAGAAUCCAGACGAUCCAGCUACCCCAGGUGGAGUUGUGCUUCGAAGAGCGAGUGGCGCCAGCAAGGAUGACCCCUUAAAAAGAUCAAGUGAUGACUUCAUUCAAAGUCCUCUUUCUCAGUCACCACAUCGUGUGUCGUGGAUAGAGGACAAGAUAUGGCUGAACUCAUCACUUACUUCCUCUCUGCUUCAACCACCCGGCUUAGAGCUGGAUUCCCUGUCAGUCAGCAGUAUAGAGGAGGAGACUGAACCAGCUUUAAGCCCCUCCCCAGCAGUACCUUCGCCCCGCCUCCACUUGGCAGAUAAGAUGAAGAACCGUCUCUCUGCAGUGGGUCAGGCUCUAGGUGGACUUAUGUCGCCACAGCGAAGACUGAGUAAACGUGUUCAGGAGAUGGCGGAACGGAAGGGAGGGGCUUUUGCAGAGGCUGUCAGGGGAUUUGUAGAGCAAACUCUUGCAGGUGAGGCCGUUCCUGGAGUGACCUGCACCGAGAUGCUGCAGGAAGUGCGCUCGUCUCUCACUGCUCUGAAGGAAACCCUGUUUGAUUGUCCAGAGAUCCAAAGCAUCAUAGACAGCAUCGGAGACACUCCAGAUUUUGAUCUGGGUAUGACCUGGAGAUAA